UUCACUAUGAUUUCAUAUGAGAACUACAUUUGAAUUAUAACAUAAUCGGCAAAAAAUCUGACAAACACUACUCAUUAUCGUUUGUGUUUGACGUUUGCUUAGCGUGAGCACGUAGAAUUUACCCGUUCAUCAAUAUUUAAAUUGAGGAGCUUAGAAUGGAAGGGGUGUAAGUGAUUUGAUCGAUUUCUCUACAUCGACUCUCUCUCUUUUGGUCAUAACUCGGCAGCAAACCCGCUCUAAAUUAUUUUCGAGUAGUUAUCGACACCACGUCGACCGAGCGACGAAAAGUGCUACAAAAGUGAUGGAAUCCAACCCCGCCUUGUCCCCCGCAGAUAGCACUACCUAAAGUUUCAGCCAUAAUUACUGGAAGAUAACUCUAACUGAGUGAAACGGCAUCACUGGCGUUUGCUUUUUCUCUUUCACGCUGGACUGUCAUUUGAAUAAACAAAUGAGAGCGGAGCGGACGGGAAAUUAUUAAAAACAACUGAAUUCUAAACAACAUUUGGUUAUCCACUCGUGAUUUGGUUUCUACGAAAUAAAAGGAAUAAGGAGACUUGAUAUUUUUCAUGUAAUGCUGCCAAUGAUUGCCGUAACGAUACUGCUAUUCCGGCUAUGUCGCUGUGAAAAUGUGCUGCUUUACACCUCGAGCGUCUUGUACGGAACUAUGGAUACAUUCAGGAUAAAGAAUUAAAGGAAACUAUAUAAUUCAAAUAAGGUGGCUUUGAGUUGCGCGUCUUUAAUCAGAACAGAUUGUCUCUAAGCAACAGUUACACAUAUUCUUCAUAUGUGAAAACAAAAAAUAGGUUGAAUCGGCAACAAUCAUAAAACAAUGAAUAUACCGCAUUGUUUCUGCCACUUCCUAACUUUCACAUUUGAACUGCUUCGUCAGUUGCCGGUGUCACCAAUUCAGCGAAUGCAUUACAUUGUGAAUUUACCUCGUCUAAAUCAGAAAAGCAUUACACGAGUAUUGGACUGGAUGGAAUCACUUGGAAUAGAAUUAUGAUGGCUCGAAAUGUUUUAUCAGUAUACUGUAAAUUCUCGAACCAAUACAAACAUGAGCUGAGAGGAAAUUUACUAAUGCUAUAACAUUUUAUUGUAUAGUCGUUGAUUCUGUAGUAUAGUUAUGUAUAUCAUAGUAUAGUCAUAUUGCAUAGUGAUAGUAUCAGUAUAAAUAUGUACAAAUUAAAUUAAAAAUAAAAUGGUUCAAUGUUUA